rnacentral:rRNA from 1 species
UACGGGGGGGCAAGCGUUGUUCGGAAUUACUGGGCGUAAAGGGCUCGUAGGCGGCCAACUAAGUCAUACGUGAAAUCCCUCGGCUUAACCGGGGAACUGCGUCUGAUACUGGAUGGCUUGAGUUCGGGAGAGGGAUGCGGAAUUCCAGGUGUAGCGGUGAAAUGCGUAGAUAUCUGGAGGAACACCGGUGGCGAAGGCGGCAUCCUGGACCGGCAUUGACGCUGAGGCGCGAAAGCCAGGGGAGCAAAGCGGG